UAUUAUUUAUAAUAUUCCACAUAUACAUAUACCUAUACAUAUUUAUAUAUACCCACACUAUAAAUUUAUUAGUUUAUAUAAUUUUAUUCACCGUAACGUAUUUUUUAAGUAAAUUUAAAAAAAUACCAGUAGCUGUUUCGCAAUUAGAUAAAACUUGAGGUUGUAAUUCAAACUGUGAAAUCAAUCAUCAUAAUAAUAAUGAUCAUGAUGAUUGAGAUGAUGAAAAAUAGUGGGAAUAAAAAAAAUGUUUUAGUAUCGCAGAAAUACGAGCCGAUUUGCCGAGUAAAAUAAUUCCGUGGGUUAGAAAAGGUAUGUAAUAAUGAAGAAUGAUGCAUAAAUUUCUGUUAAUUUAAAUGACAACGAGGACAUCCUGAGACAGAGCCAGAGUCAGAGUCAGGUAACAGUAGUUUAUAAAAACCGCUAACAAAAAUUUUAUAACCUUUCAAAUCGGCUCGUGCGGC